AUAUGUAUCAACUGGGGAUCUUGUUAACAUGUAGGUUCUUAUUCAGUAGGGUGAGGGUGGGGCCUGAGAUUCCGCAUUUCUAACAAGCUCCCAGGUGAUGUCAUU
rnacentral:pre_miRNA from 1 species